AUUGAACGCUGGCGGCAGGCCUAACACAUGCAAGUCGAGCGGUAGCACAGAGAGCUUGCUUUCGGGUGACGAGCGGCGGACGGGUGAGUAAUGUUUGGGAAACUGCCUGAUGGAGGGGGAUAACUACUGGAAACGGUAGCUAAUACCGCAUAACGUCGCAAGACCAAAGUGGGGGACCUUCGGGCCUCAUGCCAUCAGAUGUGCCCCGAUGGGAUUAGCUAGUAGGUGGGGUAACGGCUCACCUAGGCGACGAUCCCUAGCUGGUUUGAGAGGAUGACCAGCCCCCCUGGAACUGAGACACGGUCCAGACUCCUUCGGGAGGCAGCAGUGGGGAAUAUUGCCCAAUGGGCGCAAGCCUGAUGCAGCCCUGCCGCGUGUGUGAAGAAGGCCUUCGGGUUGUAAAGCACUUUCAGCGGGGAGGAAGGCGGUGAGGUUAAUAACCUCAUCGAUUGACGUUACCCGCCGAAGAAGCCCCGGCUAACUCCGUG
rnacentral:rRNA from 1 species